AUUGAACGCUGGCGGAAUGCUUUACACAUGCAAGUCGAACGGCAGCACGGGUGCUUGCACCUAGUGGCGAGUGGCGAACGGGUGAGUAAUGCACCGGAACGUAUCCAAUAAUGGGGAAUAACGCACCGAAAGGUGUGCUAAUACCGCAUACGCCCUGAGGGGGAAAGCGGGGGAUCGUAAGACCUCGCGUUAAUGGAGCGGCCGAUGCCGGAUUAGCUAGUUGGUGAGGUAAAGGCUCACCAAGGCGACGAUCCGUAGCUGGUCUGAGAGGACGACCAGCCACACUGGAACUGAGACACGGUCCAGACUCCUACGGGAGGCAGCAGUGGGGAAUUUUGGACAAUGGGCGCAAGCCUGAUCCAGCCAUUCCGCGUGAGUGAAGAAGG
rnacentral:rRNA from 1 species